CCCGACAGCAGUCACGCUUCACUGAUGAAGUGCAGAAUUGCAGGUUGUGAGCCAGUGAGAGGGCUGCUUCAACAUCUGAGCAGGUGGAGCAGAGGACGGCUAGAAACCUUCCAGCUAUGGGAAAUCUGAGUCAUGGAAGCCAUUGGAUAAAUUUAAAUACAUUAUUCUAGCUUGGAGGAGGAAACCAUCUGGGCACAGAUCUCCAAGUCCUGUGGUAUGGGCUCAUCAUUGCCAUCUUACAGAUGGGGUUGCUGAAGCAUAAAGAAUUGAAAUGACUUCCCUGGAAUCGUUAGGUGGGCAAAUGGCAGGACUGAAAAUAGAGUCUCAAUAUCCAGCUAUUCAAGCAACCCAUAGCCAUUCCUGACUUGGAAGAAGGUGCCAAUGCUGUUAGUUAAAGCAGGCAGAAAGCCUUGAUUCAUGGCAUUCUAAGCUUCAGACAAAGAUGGUUGGAGCACCGUGGUCAUAAACUCCAUCACAGAUUGGCUAUCAGCAGGAUGGAGGUGGCUGCAUGCUUUGCAGAUGAAUCAAUAUGGAGGAAGAAAACCCUAAUUUGCUGCAUCCUUUGCCUCUUCUAGUCGUGACCAAUGGAGACGUUUCAAAAUCA